rnacentral:rRNA from 1 species
UACGAAGGGGGCUAGCGUUGCUCGGAAUCACUGGGCGUAAAGCGCACGUAGGCGGACUCUUAAGACGGUGGUGAAAUCCUGGAGCUCAACUCCAGAACUGCCUUCGAUACUGGGAGUCUCGAGUCCGGGAGAGGUGAGUGGAACUGCGAGUGUAGAGGUGAAAUUCGUAGAUAUUCGCAAGAACACCAGUGGCGAAGGCGGCUCACUGGCCCGGUACUGACGCUGAGGUGCGAAAGCGUGGGGAGCAAACAGG